CUGACCAGCACAAACUCAGCCUUUAGGCUGUAGGUUUAAACCAGCUGCAGAAGAUCCCGCAAGCCAACAGCAAUUCCAACUGGAACACACUUAUGUCACUAUGAGAUCUGACAAGGAGCUAGAAAUCUCCUCUCAACUACUCCCUAAAUACCUCCUCCCUCUCUGGAACAAUGCACAUGACAAACAGAGCGAACACACACGUUCUGUCAAGUAUAAGCAUCACACCUGGAGCCUCUAGACUUGCGGUACAGUUGUGUACACACCCAGGUCCCCUGCAGCACUGUACCAUUCCACUGCAGAGACCAUCUGCACAUCCUCGGGGCGAGAGGUGAAGAGAGCCCCGGUCUGGGUGUGAGGAGAACUGCCUUUGUACCCCAGCUUGACCGGAGGACUCCGGAUACCUGUUUUCACUACCCCGGACCUGGGUGCCUCAUCUGAAAGCGAGAAUCAUACCCAGUGACCUGAGGUAUACCUGAGAAAUCCGGCUGGAAUGGGGCUGCCCCCCAGAAAUUGGCUCGUAGGCAGCCCACGUAUCAUCACUGUCUGCCUGAAAUGCCACAGAAGCCACUGGAGAGGACUCAGGACCUCGGGAUCGUGCCGGGCAGGGUAUCUGAGGAGAAAGAUGAUGAGCCUGGGGUCGAGGAGAAGCGCUUGAUCCUCAGUUUGCUUAACGGAAACAGUCUCUGCAGCCACCGUUAAGUUCUGAACAACACUCAAAGUUCCUGACAACACCCUUGAACGUAUGCUAUUUUUACAGGGCCAUCUAAAA